CUUUACAAAUCACACCUCUCUAGCGCGCUUUGCCAGUGCUGUGUAGAUCAGGCCUUUAAGGUCUUCCUGUGCUUCCGUUUCCCAUCUGUACAGUGGAGACACUAGCACUGCCCUGCCUCACACAGGCGUUGUGAAGAUAAAUACAUUAAAGAUUGUGAAGCACUCUGAGAUCUACGCACACUAUAUAAACGAGAGGGACCAUCUGAAGAUCCGGCUGGUUCCCCACCACGUGGUCAAUGAAACUCAGCUUGCCACUUGGUCUGGGAAAGAAACACCAGGUGCAUCUGAGCCUGAAACUGCAAGCAUAACCGGGAGGUGAUGGACCCCAAACAGAGGCAAAACAGAAGACGUUUGCAAGAGACCAUGCAAAGCACAAUGCCUGAGUUCAGCACAGGUCUAACUAGAGCUCACAUCUAUUGCAUACAGACAGCCCA